UACGGGGGGAGCAAGCGUUGUUCGGAUUUACUGGGCGUAAAGGGCGCGUAGGCGGCCAGCACAAGUCAGUUGUGAAAUCUCCGAGCUUAACUCGGAAAGGUCAACUGAUACUGUGCGGCUAGAGUGCGGAAGGGGCAACUGGAAUUCCUGGUGUAGCGGUGAAAUGCGCAGAUAUCAGGAGGAACACCGAUGGCGAAGGCAGGUCUCUGGGCCGAUACUGACGCUGAGGAGCGAAAGCGUGGGGAGCGAACAGG
rnacentral:rRNA from 1 species